rnacentral:rRNA from 1 species
UCGGUCCCUAUCUGCCGUGGGCGCUGGAGAACUGAGGGGGCUGCUCCUAGUACGAGAGGACCGGAGUGGACGCAUCACUGGUGUUCGGGUUGUCAUGCCAAUGGCACUGCCCGGUAGCUAAAUGCGGAAGAGAUAAGUGCUGAAAGCAUCUAAGCACGAAACUUGCCCCGAGAUGAGUUCUCCCUGAGACUUAAAGUCUCCUGAAGGAACGUUGAAGACGACGACGUUGAUAGGCCGGGUGUGUAAGCGCAGCGAUGCGUUGAGCUAACCGGUACUAAUGAACCGUGAGGCUUAACCUUAC